rnacentral:rRNA from 1 species
UACGGGGGGAGCAAGCGUUGUUCGGAUUUACUGGGCGUAAAGGGCGCGUAGGCGGUCACUACAAGUCAGUUGUGAAAUCUCUGGGCUUAACUCAGAACGGUCAACUGAUACUGUUGGACUAGAGUGCAGAAGGGGCAACUGGAAUUCUCGGUGUAGCGGUGAAAUGCGUAGAUAUCGGAAGGAACACCAGUGGCGAAAGCGGCUUCCUGGUCCAGCACCGACGUUCAGGCACGAAAGCGUGGGGAGCAAACAGG